GAAGGGAGAAAGAAAUGAGAAUCCAGGUGAUUCUACUCCUAAUCAACUCUGGAGUCAUCAUAUUCACAAAACUUGAAAAACAUUUUCUUAAAAUUUUCAUGUUGAGUCCGUGUGUGUGUGUACAUGUUCUUGUAGUGGGGGGUGCACUUGUACAUGAGGGCAAGAAUGUGUGUAGACCCGAGGAUGACACUAAUGCUGAGAAUGAAAAUCAUAACCUUAAUUGUUGAAGCAGGACAUCUCAGUCAUACCUAGAGUCCCAUCGGUUUGGCUUUUCUUGCUAACCAGUUUCCUCUGGGAUUACAGGCAGGUGGAGGUUCGUAUCUGGGUAUUUACUUGCAUUUUGGGAGAUACAAAUUCCCAAGCAAGAACUGAAAUGCUGAGCUAUCUCCUGACCAGGUAAAGACAUUUUAAUCCCUGGUCUUCCAUGUAUGUUCUACAACUUUCCAACUCAAUUUGUAGAGCUAGUCAGUAAGGGACUGCAGGAAUAAAAAAAUAUGAGAAUGUUUACUUCUAGUCUAAUUUUCUGUCUUCCUAA
rnacentral:lncRNA from 1 species